rnacentral:rRNA from 1 species
AAAUUGAAGAGUUUGAUCAUGGCUCAGAUUGAACGCUGGCGGCAGGCCUAACACAUGCAAGUCGAACGGUAGCACAGAGAGCUUGCUCUCGGGUGACGAGUGGCGGACGGGUGAGUAAUGUCUGGGAAACUGCCCGAUGGAGGGGGAUAACUACUGGAAACGGUAGCUAAUACCGCAUAACGUCGCAAGACCAAAGUGGGGGACCUUCGGGCCUCACACCAUCGGAUGUGCCCAGAUGGGAUUAGCUAGUAGGUGGGGUAACGGCUCACCUAGGCGACGAUCCCUAGCUGGUCUGAGAGGAUGACCAGCCACACUGGAACUGAGACACGGUCCAGACUCCUACGGGAGGCAGCAGUGGGGAAUAUUGCACAAUGGGCGCAAGCCUGAUGCAGCCAUGCCGCGUGUAUGAAGAAGGCCUUCGGGUUGUAAAGUACUUUCAGCGAGGAGGAAGGCGUUGUGGUUAAUAACCACAGCGAUUGACGUUACCCGCAGAAGAAGCACCGGCUAACUCCGUGCCAGCAGCCGCGGUAAUACGGAGGGUGCAAGCGUUAAUCGGAAUUACUGGGCGUAAAGCGCACGCAGGCGGUUUGUUAAGUCAGAUGUGAAAUCCCCGGGCUCAACCUGGGAACUGCAUUUGAAACUGGCAAGCUUGAGUCUCGUAGAGGGGGGUAGAAUUCCAGGUGUAGCGGUGAAAUGCGUAGAGAUCUGGAGGAAUACCGGUGGCGAAGGCGGCCCCCUGGACAAAGACUGACGCUCAGGUGCGAAAGCGUGGGGAGCAAACAGGAUUAGAUACCCUGGUAGUCCACGCCGUAAACGAUGUCUACUUGGAGGUUGUGCCCUUGAGGCGUGGCUUCCGGAGCUAACGCGUUAAGUAGACCGCCUGGGGAGUACGGCCGCAAGGUUAAAACUCAAAUGAAUUGACGGGGGCCCGCACAAGCGGUGGAGCAUGUGGUUUAAUUCGAUGCAACGCGAAGAACCUUACCUGGUCUUGACAUCCACGGAAGUUUUCAGAGAUGAGAAUGUGCCUUCGGGAACCGUGAGACAGGUGC